rnacentral:rRNA from 1 species
UACGCCCGAUCUCGUCCGAUCUCGGAAGCUAAGCAGGGUCGGGCCUGCUUAGUACUUGGUUGGGAGACUGCCUGGGAAUACCAGGUGCUGUAAGCUUGCUUACGGCCAUACCAGCCUG